UUUCCCCCAAGAUGAAGCGGUACUAUUUUCUAAUUGAUGCAACUUAAGUCCAUCAAUGGUUGUAGAAUGGAUUUUUCCCUUUUUCAGGAUAUAGCAUGUUACAACUAAAAUGGAUAGUGUAUAUACAUCCAGAAGAAAUCAAAAUGCAGUCUAAUUUUAAAAGACAGUCAACAGAAGAAGUUAUAGCCUACCGGAUGGAUG
rnacentral:lncRNA from 1 species